ACAAACGUUUUCCUCCAAUUCCCAAAUCAAAAAAAAAAAACUAGGGUUCUGCUCAGCUGCUGCACCUCUGCCUGUGCGAUUGAUUGACAAUCACUGGUACCACAAUCUGUCGGACGCCCUCCAACUCUCCACUGUGUAUCAGUGGAUACCUGGACCUUUGGUGUUGUGAAUUGGCUUGGUGGUAUUUUGAUGAGUGUUCCUUUGUGCUGGCCUCUUUUCCUUAUUGAACGAGACUGUUUUCCACUCUUCUUCUUGUUUUUCCAACAUUGAGUUAGUUGCCUGUGCUCCAGUUCUUUCUUUAAUGGUUUUGGCAUCUAAUUUGAUAAAGGAGCAUUUGUUUUUUGUGUGUCCCAACCUACCACAAUUUGUACAUAGAAAAUUAUCUCCUUCGUAAUGAAUGUGUUUUUUCCC